rnacentral:tRNA from 1 species
GCCCUGUUAGCUCAGUCGGUAAAGCGUUGGACUUUAAUCCAACCGUCGUGGUUUCGAGACCCACAAUGGGCG